rnacentral:rRNA from 1 species
GACGAACGCUGGCGGCGUGCUUAACACAUGCAAGUCGAACGGAAAGGCCCUGCUUUUGUGGGGUGCUCGAGUGGCGAACGGGUGAGUAACACGUGAGUAACCUGCCCUUGACUUUGGGAUAACUUCAGGAAACUGGGGCUAAUACCGGAUAGGAGCUCCUGCUGCAUGGUGGGGGUUGGAAAGUUUCGGCGGUUGGGGAUGGACUCGCGGCUUAUCAGCUUGUUGGUGGGGUAGUGGCUUACCAAGGCUUUGACGGGUAGCCGGCCUGAGAGGGUGACCGGCCACAUUGGGACUGAGUUACGGCCCAGACUCCUACGGGAGGCAGCAGUGGGGAAUAUUGCACAAUGGGCGGAAGCCUGAUGCAGCCACGCCGCGUGCGGGAUGACGGCCUUCGGGUUGUAAACCGCUUUCGCCUGUGACGAAGCGUGAGUGACGGUAAUGGGUAAAGAAGCACCGGCUAACUACGUG